GUGCCAGCAGCCGCGGUAAUACGGAAGGUCCGGGCGUUAUCCGGAUUUAUUGGGUUUAAAGGGAGCGCAGGCGGAAGGAUAAGCGUGACGUGAAAUGUAGCCGCUCAACGGCUGAACUGCGUCGCGAACUGUCUUUCUUGAGUGAGUACGACGUCAGCGGAAUUCGUGGUGUAGCGGUGAAAUGCUUAGAUAUCACGAAGAACCCCGAUUGCGAAGGCAGCUGACGAGUCCUUUACUGACGCUAAAGCUCGAAGGUGCGGGUAUCGAACAGGAUUAGAUACCCUGGUAGUCCGCACGGUAAACGAUGGAUGCCCGCUGUUGGCGAUACAAUGUCAGCGGCCAAGCGAAAGCGUUAAGCAUCCCACCUGGGGAGUACGCCGGCAACGGUGAAACUCAAAGGAAUUGACGGGGGCCCGCACAAGCGGAGGAACAUGUGGUUUAAUUCGAUGAUACGCGAGGAACCUUACCCGGGCUUGAACUGCAGGAGAACGAUUCAGAGAUGAUGAGGUCCUUCGGGACUCCUGUGGAGGUGCUGCAUGGUUGUCGUCAGCUCGUGCCGUGAGGUGUCGGCUUAAGUGCCAUAACGAGCGCAACCCCUUUCGUUAGUUGCCAUCAGGUGAUGCUGGGCACUCUGGCGAUACUGCCACCGUAAGGUGUGAGGAAGGUGGGGAUGACGUCAAAUCAGCACGGCCCUUACGUCCGGGGCUACACACGUGUUACAAUGGGGAGUACAGAGAGUCGGUCGCUGGCAACUGCGAUCCAAUCCUUAAAGCUCUCCUCAGUUCGGAUUGGGUCUGCAACCCGACCCCAUGAAGCUGGAUUCGCUAGUAAUCGCGCAUCAGCCAUGGCGCGGUGAAUACGUUCCCGGGCCUUGUACACACCGCCCGU
rnacentral:rRNA from 1 species